rnacentral:rRNA from 1 species
AGUCCACAUCGACGGGGAGGUUUGGCACCUCGAUGUCGGCUCAUCACAUCCUGGGGCUGUAGUAGGUCCCAAGGGUUGGGCUGUUCGCCCAUUAAAGUGGUACGCGAGCUGGGUUCAGAACGUCGUGAGCCAGUUCGGUCCCUAUCCGUCGCAGGCGUAGGAAAUUUGAGAAGACCUGUCCUUAGUACGAGAGGACCGGGAUGGACGUACCUCUGGUGUACCAGUUGUUCUGCCAAGGGCAUGGCUGGGUAGCUAUGUACGGAAUGGAUAAGCGCUGAAAGCAUCUAAGCGCGAAGCCAACUUCAAGAUAAGAUUUCCCACCGCAAGGGUAAGACCCCAGAAAGACUAUCUGGUUG